CGUGCGCCAAGGCGCACAUUUAAAUCUAGUCUAAAGGUGUAUAUGAUGCCCCCCAUAGGGGCUCUCACAGGCGUUUGGAUUUUGGGCCGUCAGAUCGAGCUGAUGUGGCGCGAUCUCGGCGGUCGAUUUCGUCCAGGGCAGUGAGGCCCUCCCGCAGAUCCGCAUUUUAUCCACGGGUCAGGGAAAGCCCGCCCGGCCCAGCGUCGGGGAGAGAGCACGCAACCCUCGUCCUCGCGCGUCGCUCCUGGACCUCCCGUCGCGCCGCCUCUUUUCCUCCUCCUCUCUGCUCGCUCCCCUCGCCCGCCCCGCCGCCACCCGAGCUCCGCCGCGCCAGCGUCGCCGCACCCCGCCUCCUGCUCUGCCCUAGCGCCGCCGUCCCCUCCUCCUCUCCUGCUCCUCAUCUCUCCCGAGCCGCCGCCCCUCCCGAGCCGCCGGCCCUUCCCUCGCGCCGCCGCACCCCGCCUCCUGCUCGCUGGCCGUCUCCAACGGCGUGCUACUGCGCGGGGAGCCAGCAGCGCCUUGACGCGGUUGCAGGAACACGACCUCGCGGGAGGAGCGGCUGGUGGCCGGCCGGUCGCACUGCCUGUACCUCAACUUGGCCAUAUCUAUAGGUUCUCUAUCUUUCCUCCCAUCUCUCUAUUUCUCUCUCUGAUUCACUGCGAACACUUUCUUGCUGCAGUAGCUCACGGAGUAACAUGCCAAAGUUAAGUUGUUGCUCCAUGAUGGUGACAAGGAGUCAGCCAUUGAGAUGUUGGGAAAGAUCCAAAAUCGCCUAGCCACCUAGACAUCUUCUCCAUUGGAUUUUAUAGUCUCCAGGUUAUUCAAGAUUCUUGUUAUUUUGUCUUCAAUUUUUCCUACAUGAUAUGAAUCUAAGUUGUUUAUUUGAUUGAUCUUUUGGUGCCUGCUAAUUUCUCGAUGCCGAGCUGAUUGAGUAGAAACUCUUGGUGGUUUGGGGUCAUAUUCACUCUCUUGGUUCAUCAGAACAUGUCAAGCUGGAUCAUGUUUUUUCUCCGGACAUCAAGGAUGUGCAAUAUGUGUCAACAUGGUGUCCUAGCUUGUAGAUUGAUGGUCACACUUCUGAUAUUUGUUAUAUACAUAAUAUGUUUUAUGCUCCCUUUGUUACCAAAAUAUGGAAAUGCAUUCGAUGACUAAUAGAUGCUGCUAAAGAGGCACACUUAAAUGUUCAGACAUUCCACUCCUAUUAAUCCAUCAUUUAUUUACAGUUAGGCUUCGUAUUCAACUUGCUUCACCUAUGCUUUUGUGUUAUACAGGGUGUAAUGAUUCAGGGAUUUGGCUGCUUGUUAGUGAACUUAUGUGCCAUUUCUUCCUCGUUUUCAUAGGCUAUACUAUAAUUAUAGUCCGUUAGAUGCUUAUUAGUGAACUUAUGGUUUCAGGUUUUUUUAGUUGACUUGCUGCCAACUAGAAGAAAUCUGUGUGUUUUAGGAGGAUGUAUACUUUGCAAGUGCACGAGGUAGGAAAUUUUCUCUUUUUGGAGACCGUCUCAGAUGCAAGCAUCCUUAUUGUCAACCUAGCACCCGGAUGGUGAUGCUUGUCUUCCGUUGGGUCAAGUGAAGUCCUUGGGUCAUGGACAAGCAUACAGGACAAACCUAUGGCUGGAAAUACAAGAGUGGCAGCCGCGAUUUUGGCAUCAAGCUAAUGCGGGUCUUUCUCCUUAGCUCUGUCGAGGACUACGUCUUCUCGUAUGCCGCUCAGACGCGGUGCUAUCUUCUCACCUUGUGUGCAUGAUUGGUGAUGGACUCCACUGCUGACCCCGCUGUCCACCUCAUGUGAGCUUACUGCAAUUGUUGGAGCAGGAGCGGAAAAAUACAUGAGCCUCUUUCAGUAUGACUAGAACAAGGCCUCAUUUGGUAAG